GAAUAAACCUGGUGCGGUUGCAGCUGGCCCUCUCGGGGGCAUGUGCUCGCCGUGUCACUUUUAUAUCUCCACCUGUGCACCUUUGUAGACCUGGUUGAUAAAUUUCAGAGGCAACUCUGUCGGGAGGGACUGCUGAGGCAAAACUCGGCUUUCCCUUGUAUUAUCUAGGCCUAUGUUUAUUCACAUACCCCAAAGAAUGUAACAGAAUGUAUCAUAUGGCCUUGUGCCUAUAAACUAUAUACAACUUUCAGCAACGGAUCUCUUGGCUCU
rnacentral:misc_RNA from 1 species